GACGAACGCUGGCGGCGUGCCUAAUACAUGCAAGUCGAACGAACUCUGGUAUUGAUUGGUGCUUGCAUCAUGAUUUACAUUUGAGUGAGUGGCGAACUGGUGAGUAACACGUGGGAAACCUGCCCAGAAGCGGGGGAUAACACCUGGAAACAGAUGCUAAUACCGCAUAACAACUUGGACCGCAUGGUCCGAGCUUGAAAGAUGGCUUCGGCUAUCACUUUUGGAUGGUCCCGCGGCGUAUUAGCUAGAUGGUGGGGUAACGGCUCACCAUGGCAAUGAUACGUAGCCGACCUGAGAGGGUAAUCGGCCACAUUGGGACUGAGACACGGCCCAAACUCCUACGGGAGGCAGCAGUAGGGAAUCUUCCACAAUGGACGAAAGUCUGAUGGAGCAACGCCGCGUGAGUGAAGAAGGGUUUCGGCUCGUAAAACUCUGUUGUUAAAGAAGAACAUAUCUGAGAGUAACUGUUCAGGUAUUGACGGUAUUUAACCAGAAAGCCACGGCUAACUACGUGCCAGCAGCCGCGGUAAUACGUAGGUGGCAAGCGUUGUCCGGAUUUAUUGGGCGUAAAGCGAGCGCAGGCGGUUUUUUAAGUCUGAUGUGAAAGCCUUCGGCUCAACCGAAGAAGUGCAUCGGAAACUGGGAAACUUGAGUGCAGAAGAGGACAGUGGAACUCCAUGUGUAGCGGUGAAAUGCGUAGAUAUAUGGAAGAACACCAGUGGCGAAGGCGGCUGUCUGGUCUGUAACUGACGCUGAGGCUCGAAAGUAUGGGUAGCAAACAGGAUUAGAUACCCUGGUAGUCCAUACCGUAAACGAUGAAUGCUAAGUGUUGGAGGGUUUCCGCCCUUCAGUGCUGCAGCUAACGCAUUAAGCAUUCCGCCUGGGGAGUACGGCCGCAAGGCUGAAACUCAAAGGAAUUGACGGGGGCCCGCACAAGCGGUGGAGCAUGUGGUUUAAUUCGAAGCUACGCGAAGAACCUUACCAGGUCUUGACAUACUAUGCAAAUCUAAGAGAUUAGACGUUCCCUUCGGGGACAUGGAUACAGGUGGUGCAUGGUUGUCGUCAGCUCGUGUCGUGAGAUGUUGGGUUAAGUCCCGCAACGAGCGCAACCCUUAUUAUCAGUUGCCAGCAUUAAGUUGGGCACUCUGGUGAGACUGCCGGUGACAAACCGGAGGAAGGUGGGGAUGACGUCAAAUCAUCAUGCCCCUUAUGACCUGGGCUACACACGUGCUACAAUGGAUGGUACAACGAGUUGCGAACUCGCGAGAGUAAGCUAAUCUCUUAAAGCCAUUCUCAGUUCGGAUUGUAGGCUGCAACUCGCCUACAUGAAGUCGGAAUCGCUAGUAAUCGCGGAUCAGCAUGCCGCGGUGAAUACGUUCCCGGGCCCUUGUACACACCGCCCGUCACACCAUGAGAGUUUGUAACA
rnacentral:rRNA from 2 species